CCUACGGGAUGCAGCAGUGAGGAAUAUUGGUCAAUGGACGAGAGUCUGAACCAGCCAAGUAGCGUGAAGGAUGACUGCCCUAUGGGUUGUAAACUUCUUUUAUAUGGGAAUAAAACGUUCCACGUGUGGGAUUUUGUAUGUACCAUAUGAAUAAGGAUCGGCUAACUCCGUGCCAGCAGCCGCGGUAAUACGGAGGAUCCGAGCGUUAUCCGGAUUUAUUGGGUGUAAAGGGAGCGUAGGUGGAUUGUUAAGUCAGUUGUGAAAGUUUGCGGCUCAACCGUAAAAUUGCAGUUGAAACUGGCAGUCUUGAGUACAGUAGAGGUGGGCGGAAUUCGUGGUGUAGCGGUGAAAUGCUUAGAUAUCACGAAGAACUCCGAUUGCGAAGGCAGUUCACUGGACUGCAACUGACACUGAGGCUCGAAAGUGUGGGUAUCAAACAGGAUUAGAUACCCCAGUAGUC
rnacentral:rRNA from 1 species